ensembl:lncRNA
GCAGCGCCGGACAGGCGGGAGGCCCCGGACAGGCGGGAGGCUCCGGCAGCGGCGCCGGACAGGCGGGAGGCUCCGGCAGCGGCGCCGGACAGGCGGGAGGCUCCGGACAGGCGGGAGGCUCCGGCAGCGGCGCCGGACAGGCGGGAGACUCCGGCAGCAGCGCCGGACAGGCGGGAGACUCCGGCAGCAGCGCCGGACAGGCGGGAGACUCCGGCAGCAGCGCCGGACAGGCGGGAGACUCCGGCAGCGGCGCCGGACAGACAGGACCACCUGCAGGGAGGAGACAGAGAGACAGCCUGGUGCGUGGGGCUGCCACAGGAACCACCAGGCUGGGGAGACCC